rnacentral:rRNA from 1 species
GAGUUUGAUCCUGGCUCAGAUUGAACGCUGGCGGCAUGCCUAACACAUGCAAGUCGAACGGAAACGAUGGAAGCUUGCUUCCAGGCGUCGAGUGGCGGACGGGUGAGUAAUACUUAGGAAUCUACCCAGUAGCGGGGGACAACUCGAGGAAACUCGAGCUAAUACCGCAUACGCCCUACGGGGGAAAGCAGGGGAUCUUCGGACCUUGCACUAUUGGAUGAGCCUAAGUCGGAUUAGCUAGUUGGUGAGGUAAAGGCUCACCAAGGCGACGAUCCGUAGCUGGUUUGAGAGGACGAUCAGCCACACUGGGACUGAGACACGGCCCAGACUCCUACGGGAGGCAGCAGUGGGGAAUAUUGGACAAUGGGGGCAACCCUGAUCCAGCAAUGCCGCGUGUGUGAAGAAGGCCUGCGGGUUGUAAAGCACUUUCAGUAGAGAAGAAAAGCUUACGGUUAAUAACCGUGGGUCUUGACGUUACCUACAGAAGAAGCUCCGGCUAACUCCGUGCCAGCAGCCGCGGUAAUACGGAGGGAGCGAGCGUUAAUCGGAAUUACUGGGCGUAAAGCGCGCGUAGGCGGCUUUGUAAGUCGGAUGUGAAAGCCCUGGGCUCAACCUGGGAAUGGCAUUCGAAACUGCAUGGCUAGAGUAUGGUAGAGGGAAGUGGAAUUUCCGGUGUAGCGGUGAAAUGCGUAGAUAUCGGAAGGAACACCAGUGGCGAAGGCGACUUCCUGGGCCAAUACUGACGCUGAAGCGCGAAAGCGUGGGUAGCAAACAGGAUUAGAUAC